rnacentral:rRNA from 1 species
UACGGGGGGGGCAAGCGUUGUUCGGAAUUACUGGGCGUAAAGGGCUCGUAGGCGGCCAACUAAGUCCGACGUGAAAUCCCAAGGCUUAACCUUGGAACUGCGUCGGAUACUGGAUGGCUUGAAUUCGGGAGAGGGAUGCAGAAUUCCAGGUGUAGCGGUGAAAUGCGUAGAUAUCUGGAGGAGUACCGGUGGCGAAGGCGGCAUCCUGGACCGACAUUGACGCUGGAGGAAGCGAAAGCUAGGGGAGCAAACGGG